rnacentral:ncRNA from 2 species
GGUGGCAGGCCCACCGGGAUCUGCUGUCGGAAGUCGGUCCCAAACAACCCCGGCUGCUGUGGUAAAGAGCCAUGGUAGUGAGCGCAGGGGGAACGAUCAGACGAGAUCUGAUCCUAUG